ensembl:lncRNA
CCAGGUUCUUUAUGUUUCGUCGCGGAAAGAUUUCAGUGCGAGACAAAGUGAUGAGUGGAUUUAGAGAGAGACACAUUCCGUAGACAGAAUGCGAUCUGUCUCAAAAGCAAGAGGCUGUGCCCUGCCCUCUUCUCUCCUGUUUCAAAGGCAUUCACAGGCCUCAGGCCCUGAACAAGAUCUGAGCUUCAGAAGGCAUCUCUGCAGGCUGCCAGCUCCGAGAGCAGCCGCAUGUGUCUGAAACCACCGAAUCAGAAAGGUGUCAUAAAUGAAAUCUCUACAGGAGUCCUUGGAGCCUGGCUCCCUGCCCAGAAUGCCAAGGGCCCCAGGAGGAGGCUUCUGCCAGUCACAUGAGCAGCUUGGCUCUCCCAGCUGACGGGUGCUUCUCCCGGAGGGUCUAAGAUGUGCCAGGUGAAGUCUUGGGUGCUUCCCACACAGGCUCCCACCUAUAGCCAAGUGGAGUAGCUAUCCCCACUUUACAGAUGGGGAAACUGAGGCUGGGAGGUGAGGCUUGUCCCAGGUCACCCGGCAGGUGAGAGGCAGAGCUGCCACCCCAGCUGGGUCUGCCUGUGUCCAGAGGCUGUGCUGCCCCUUGUGCAGAGCGGGAAAGACAGAGGUCCCAGAGGUCACUGUUGCUGAGUCUUACUGCUUGCAGCAGGACAGGCCAAUAAAUGGGGAGACGAACUGUUGGGGCAGAGAACAGCAAUUUUUUUGGACAGCCAGCACACCGAGAAGGUGGUGGAUUAGUGUCCCAGAGAACCAUCUUCCCUGAGCUAGAGUUCAGGCUUCUUUUCCUUUUUUAUUUUCUGGCUGUGUUGGGUCUUAGGUGAGGCAUAUGGGAUCCUCGUUGAGUCCUGCAGAUCUUUCAUUGAGACGCAGGAACUCUGUAGUUCAGGCACAAGGGCUCAUUUGUUCCGCGUCACAUGCAAUCUUAGUUCUCUGACCAGGGAUCGAACCCAUGUCCCCUGCAUUGCAAGGUGGAUUCUUAACCACUGGACCACCAGGAAGGUCCCUUCAGGCUUCUCUCAUACUGAAACGGGAGGGGUAAAGUCCUGGUUUCCGCCAGACGCUGGAGGGGAUACGUUAACUUUCUUCCUUCCCGCAGCCAUUCACUGGUGGGCCUGGUCAGGACGUUUCCUGUGAGCUGAGCAAAAGUUUUUUAGCUUAACUCACAUUACCUGGGAAGCAGGGUUCCC